rnacentral:rRNA from 1 species
UACGGAGGGGGCUAACGUUGUUCGGAAUUACUGGGCGUAAAGCGCACGUAGGCGGCGAUUUAAGUCAGAGGUGAAAGCCCGGGGCUCAACCCCGGAAUAGCCUUUGAGACUGGAUUGCUAGAAUCUUGGAGAGGCGAGUGGAAUUCCGAGUGUAGAGGUGAAAUUCGUAGAUAUUCGGAAGAACACCAGUGGCGAAGGCGGCUCGCUGGACAAGUAUUGACGCUGAGGUGCGAAAGCGUGGGGAGCAAACAGG